GAUGAACGCUGACGGCGUGCCUAAUACAUGCAAGUCGAGCGAACGGACGAGAAGCUUGCUUCUCUGAUGUUAGCGGCGGACGGGUGAGUAAUACGUGGAUAACCUACCUAUAAGACUGGGAUAACUUCGGGAAACCGGAGCUAAUACAGGAUAAUAUUUUGAACCGCAUGGUUCAAAAGUGAAAGACGGUCUUGCUGUCACUUAUAGAUGGAUCCGCGCUGCAUUAGCUAGUUGGUAAGGUAACGGCUUACCAAGGCAACGAUGCAUAGCCGACCUGAGAGGGUGAUCGGCCACACUGGAACUGAGACACGGUCCAGACUCCUACGGGAGGCAGCAGUAGGGAAUCUUCCGCAAUGGGCGAAAGCCUGACGGAGCAACGCCGCGUGAGUGAUGAAGGUCUUCGGAUCGUAAAACUCUGUUAUUAGGGAAGAACAUAUGUGUAAGUAACUGUGCACAUCUUGACGGUACCUAAUCAGAAAGCCACGGCUAACUACGUG
rnacentral:rRNA from 1 species